CUACGGAGGAUCCGAGCGUUAUCCGGAUUUAUUGGGUUUAAAGGGUGCGCAGGCGGGAGAUUAAGUCGGUGGUGAAAUUUUGCGGCUCAACCGUAACAGUGCCAUUGAUACUGGUUUCCUUGAGUGUGGAUGAAGUAGGCGGAAUUUGUGGUGUAGCGGUGAAAUGCAUAGAUAUCACGAGGAACUCCGAUCGCGUAGGCAGCUUACUAAACCAUAACUGACGCUCAUGCACGAAGGCGUGGGGAUCAAACAGGAUUAGAUACCCUGGUAGUCCACGCGGUAAACGAUGAUUACUGGCUGUUUGCGAUACACUGUAAGCGGCCCAGCGAAAGCGUUAAGUAAUCCACCUGGGGAGUACGUUCGCAAGAAUGAAACUCAAAUGAAUUGACGGGG
rnacentral:rRNA from 1 species